AUCCGCCCCUCCCGCAGCGCGGCGGGACCGGAGCGGCGGGAGGGCGGCCGAGGGCUCCGAGCACCGGGCAGCGCCGUGUCCGGGCCCUGCCAUUACCUGGGAGAGCCGGGGAAAGAACCUCAAGAGUAUGAACCUUGAGAAAUUGUGAUGGAGUAGCAAUGUAGAAGGGUUUAGUCAACAUCUUACACACAAGCUCAACCUGGCUAAUUGGUUGUUUUAGCCGAAGUACUGACCUCUUUCUGAUCCUUCUCCAUGAAGGGAGGCCUGCCUCGCUGCUGUCCAAAAAGAUGAAUGCACCACUGAGGAUUUCUUUAACACCACUGCUGGGAAGAGGAUCAAAUUCAUAGCUGCCGUAGAAGUCUGCAUAACUUGUCAGAGCAAUUCUCUACCGUGGCAAGUUACACAAGCUGGGGAGCUUGUCCUUGCCCCAGGGUAUCCUACCUAUCUCUGCCUUCUCUCUUCAAGCAUGGCUCCUUCUCUCCGUUCUUUUACAAAGGCAUCAUCCGCUGUACUUAUUUUUAGGACAACAGCCAGAAUUCCUGCCCUGUGGAGCUUGGUGAGUGGCCCCUGUGAUAAGGCAGUAGUUUCUUCCAGCCUUUCUUUUCGUUGAAAGUGUUGCUUAAAUAAAAGGAAAGGAUGAGCCUACACUCAGAAGAGAGAAAAAAAAAAAAGAAAACAAAAGCUGGGCUUGCCAACCUGCAGCAUGCUCUGUGAUUGAUUUCCGCUCGCAGUCUGCACAGCUCUGCCUGCACGGAUCUGUUUAGUCAUGUUGCAGGGAUGGACUGAAUGAGGCUGUUUGCUUCAGGACUGGUGUUUGUUCUCAGCUCUCCUCAAUGAUCAAAUGUUACCUGUGCUGGAGAGCACCUGUGUUGUAAUCGGGCUCUGUCCCUCCUUGGCAGGCAGGAGCUGUGCAGAGCCUUUGAAGGAAAGCAGGACUUAGCUGAAGGAGUAGAAAUAACCAUGGCUUUACUUGUGGUGGCUUUCUGUGACCAGUGUACACUGCAGUGGGCCAAGACCCAGUCUGCCUGUCAGGUCUCAAUAGUACCUGUGAAUAAUGGAGGGAGCCCCUGUUCAGUGACCACUUUUGCUACCAGACAAGAGGCAAGCCUUUGAGAUGCCUUCAUGAUCCCCUGCUGGUAGAGUUGGACUGGGACCAGGCCAGCACCUGAUCUCAGAUGAUGUUAUUUAUGGUCGUGGAGCCCAGCCACAGAUCCAUGGUUACACAGAGGCAUGAAUGGGAACAAGCACUGCACCAGUUUUCCUCAGCACACCAGCAAGGAAGGUGUGAAAUGCCUGUCCUUACCUUGGUGGUAAUUAUGGUAAUUAUGGAUUACCACCUCUGUGGCUUAUUGGAGCAGGAGAGGAAAGGUACAGUGUCAACACUACUGAUCUCCCCAGUUUGACCCAAAUCUACAUGUGCUUCCAAGUGAUGCAACACACGCCCUUCCUGAGAUUUGACUUUAAUUACAAACGAACUUUUUGUUCACAGUAAUAGCUGCCAAUAUUCCUUAAUGGCUUUAACUGCUCACACAGUUAUUCCCAGCAGCCUGGGGUGGCCCCUCCACUCUCUCUCCAAGGCUUACUGCUGUCAACUCGCUGUCUGUGCUUGUAUGUGUAGACAACACCACCAUACCAUGGAGACAAUACAUGUUUUUUUAAGUAGGGAUCGAGUGUAACAGUCAUACAAUGAUUGUGAUCUGUAUUUCACCUCUACUGAAAAUGUGUCUCUGCCCAUCCAGGGCCACUCUGCAAAAUAUCAAAUGCUUUCCUGGGCCAUAGGACAGAGAUACAAACUGUCUCCCACUGCCUUGUGGCUCUAGCUAGGAUGUUAAGCCAUGUGCU